GAUGAACGCUAGCGGGAGCUUAACACAUGCAAGUCGAGGGGCAGCAUAGGGUAGCAAUACUCUGAUGGCGACCGGCAAACGGGUGAGUAACGCGUAUGCAACCUACCUGUACAGGGGGAUAACCCGGAGAAAUUCGGACUAAUAUCCCGUAAUAAUAUCCGGAGGCAUCUUUGGAUAUUAAAGUUCCGACGGUACGGGAUGGGCAUGCGUAACAUUAGCUGGUUGGUAAGGUAACGGCUUACCAAGGCUAUGAUGUUUAGGGGUCCUGAGAGGGUGGUCCCCCACACUGGUACUGAGACACGGACCAGACUCCUACGGGAGGCAGCAGUGAGGAAUAUUGGUCAAUGGGCGCAAGCCUGAACCAGCCAUCCCGCGUGCAGGAAGACGGCCCUAUGGGUUGUAAACUGCUUUUCCAGGGAGAGAAACUUACGCACGUGUUGCGUGACUGACGGUACCCUGGGAAUAAGCAUCGGCUAACUCCGUG
rnacentral:rRNA from 1 species